rnacentral:rRNA from 1 species
AGUGAACGCUGGCGGUAGGCCUAACACAUGCAAGUCGAACGGCAGCACAGUGAGAGCUUGCUCUUACGGGUGGCGAGUGGCGGGCGGGUGAGAAGUACAUCGGAAUCUACUUUUUCGUGGGGUAUAACGUAGGGAAACUUACGCUAAUACCGCAUACGGCCUACGGGUGAAAGCAGGGGAUCUUCGGACCUUGCGCGAUUGUAUGAGCCGAUGUCGGAUUAGCUAGUUGGUGGGGUAAGGGCCCACCAAGGCGACGAUCCGUAGCUGGUCUGAGAGGAUGAUCAGCCACACUGGAACUGAGACACGGUCCAGACUCCUACGGGAGGCAGCAGUGGGGAAUAUUGGACAAUGGGCGCAAGCCUGAUCCAGCCAUACCGCGUGGGUGAAGAAGGCCUUCGGGUUGUAAAGCCCUUUUGUUGGGGAAGAAAAGCAGCAGGUUAAUACCCCGCUGUUUUGACGGUACCCAAAGAAUAAGCACCGGCUAACUUCGUG